rnacentral:rRNA from 1 species
AUGGCGGCGACCGUGCGCACAUGGCUGGUGGUGGCGGCGCUGGCGUGCGCGCUGACGCUGGCGCUGCGCUCGGCGGACGCGCAGGAGAGCGAGGCGCAGUCGCAGCCGACGUCGUCGUCGUCGCCGGCCCAGAAGCCCAACUGCGCUCCGGGCGCCGCCACGCCGUGCCGCGUGGGCGCGCUGCGCGACCCGGAGAACCAGGAGGAGGAGGGGCUGUUCAAUGUGAAGGUGAGGGCGCCGACCGCCGCGGGUGACUCCGGCGACAGCGACGACGACUACAGCGACCCCGACAAGCCCAAAGACCCCGACCAGUCCGACGACGACGAGCUUGUCGUUCUCGGCCACUGA